AGUGGCCGAACGGUAAUGCAGCUGGCCACAGACUUUUUGGGCGGCGGUUCGAACCCCGGU
rnacentral:tRNA from 1 species